GUAUGACAACAUUUUACAUUGACCUUUAAGACUGAACGCAGACCAGUAUUUAAAAUAUAAGAUAUUUAUAAGCGACUCUGACAGCGCUGUUGAAUUCUGGGUUCUGAUUGGUCAGAUUGUGUUGAUUACUUUUCUUUAACAGCACCUUUGACAAUAAUGUGUCUGUAUCACAGGUUUAUAUGAUGCAGCUCUAUACGUUAUGAAGCAACUACACACAAAAAUAUAAAAAUGUUUCUCUGUUUCUAAUCCCUCCAUCUCCACUAUGGUGCGUCACAGUAAACUUCAGAAACAAGUGUUAUCUCUCUACAGAGAGUUCCUGCGUGCUGGACGGGACAAACCUGGGUUUUUACCCAGAAUACGGGAAGAAUUUCGCACAAAUGCCGCCAUCCAAAAGACAGAUGUGAUGCAUAUUGAUUAUUUGUGUCGACGAGCCCAGAGACAGUUGGAGCAACUUCGAGAUGUGAAUACCAAACAACUGGGUUUCUUCAGCAAGACCAAGGAGGACAGCUGACUUUAAUAUGUAUAUAUUUAUGGACAGACAGGGUUUCUUGAGGUGUCAGUAACACUGAUCAAUCUUAUAAUAAAAACAACGUUAAGCAAUUGUGUUGAUGGCUAUAUUUAUAUAAAGUUUAUCAGCUCUUCUUGUUGUAUAAAUUGCACACUUUCUGCAGCCCAUUGGUUACAGGGUGUAUGUGGUGUUGGUAAUUAUAGACCCAUUCAUUGACUUGUUUUUUUUUUUAUAUCCUUUGUAAAGGAACUACGUUAAACCUGCUAAAUCCCUUAUGUAUUACCCACAUUAAAUACGAGUGUCAACAAAUCGACAGAAGUGUUUUAAUGCACUGAAAGAGCUGAGCCAGUAGGGGGCGCUGGUGCGUGACACGCCAUUAAAACUCAGCAACAGAAAGCAGUCCGUGUAAACAGGAAGUGAAGAAGGGGGCAGAAAAAUGGCGGAGUCGAGAAAGAUCAGCAGUGAGAUGACAGACGCGCAGUUAAUGCAGCAGUUGGCUCUGCUUGGCUGGCUGAACAGUGACCGUGUGGAGUGUAAACAGUUCCUCACAGCUGUCACUGGCAUGCAGGUGGCUCGAGAAGUCCUUAAUAGAUUAUCAGGUCAAGGAAAAGUGGACGCUUACAGGAAUGAAUGCAUUCAGAGCGUGGCGGAUUACGUACGGAGGAACCCUAGAGCCUCGGAGCGAGAGCUGAACGCAGAGGUGGAAAAGAAUGUGCUUCUGUUUGCCUCUAGAGUGCAGGCUUUAGACUCUUCACCUCUCCUCUGAAUGCACAGAUGCCUUCUGUCCUCACCCUGCCUUGUACAUUACAUCUGAAAUUUUUACAUGAUUUUGCUAAAUGUAUAUGAUUUUAUGUUAAGUAUUAUUCCUACUUAAAAUGUGAAACACUUAAUUUCUUUAGGCUUUAUAAUAUAAUUGCUACAUGUGCACCUACAUUAAUAAACUGGGGAAAAAAAUGGA